rnacentral:piRNA from 1 species
UAAUCUUAACAUUUGAUAAAU